rnacentral:rRNA from 1 species
UACGGAGGGGGCUAGCGUUGUCCGGAGUUACUGGGCGUAAAGCGCGCGCAGGCGGCCCGCGAGGUGUCACGUGAAAGCCCCGGGCUCAACUCGGGAGGGUCGUGGCAAACCGGCGGGCUUGAGGCCGGUAGAGGUGGGUGGAACUCCUGGUGGAGUGGUGAAAUGCGUAGAGAUCAGGAAGAACACCCGUGGCGAAGGCGGCCCACCUGGGCCGGUGCUGACGGCUGGAGGCGCGAAGGCGUGGGGAGCGAACGGG